CCACGAUAGUUGUAAAUUUAUUCCAUAUAAGUCAUUUUGUAUAAAAAGAGGAAUUCCAAGCUCAAGGAGGCAGAGGAUAGGUUUUUAGCAAAUCAUCAUUUCUAGUCAUUUGAGUAUAUGGAGCACUUGAGCUUCAACUUAAGAUUGGAGCUUAGGAAAGAUGCCCAAUUUUUUGGUGAGAAAUCGAGGGUCGGCGAGACAUUUCCGAACAACUGCUUGGAAUUAAGCUUCGAGACCACACACAUGGUGUUCAGUUGGAUCCAGGAAUCGAAAAUUAUCCUUAGAUCAAAGAUCGGAGCAACAAUGACGAUGUAGUGAGCUUGGGAAGAAUUUUGAUCGAAUUUUCAAUUUUCGACAAGGUUGCAGCAGUGGACUAGUGACUAAACCGAUUCGACCUGACUUGAGAACCUGGUCUGGAUCUGAUGACAGAGAAUUAAAAAUCAUCCCAUUGGUAUGCGUGGGUAAGUGGUAUAAUUUAAUUAAAACAAUCAAGUGGUGCUAAACACUUUAAAAAAUCGACGGAGGGAAAACGUUUAAUCAUAAUCAAGGCCAAUAUUAAAGGAUUGUCACAGAUAGGUUAAGACUGCAUUAAGUUCUUUUUCUUGCCUUGUGACCAAAGACUUUUACUUAUACUUUGUAUGUCCAAGCGAAGGGAGUCCAGAGCCAUUCUAAA